rnacentral:lncRNA from 1 species
UGGAUAAAAACUUAGAAUUAAACAAAGAUUGUGUUCCCAAUCUAAAUACAUUAUAAACUCCAGCACAAAAUAAAACCCAGGUCUCCUUAGCAUUGAAGCUCAGUUCAUGUGGAUUUUGGGAAAAAAAAACCGUUGAAAACUUAACAAUCCAGAUUAGGGGAAACAAUUACUGGAAAAUUAACAACUAAACAAAUUAAAGAACUGAAAACCCACAAAAAAAAACGAAAAAAAAAAACCAACUGACCUUAAAACAAAUAACAAACAUACUGAACAGAAAGUGAAUCCCCAAAAUGAGAGAAAAUGAAACAAAUAAGGGAAUAAAGAG